rnacentral:rRNA from 1 species
GAAAGAUGGUUUCGGCUAUCGCUUACAGAUGGGCCCGCGGUGCAUUAGCUAGUUGGUAGGGUAAUGGCCUACCAAGGCAACGAUGCAUAGCCGACCUGAGAGGGUGAUCGGCCACACUGGGACUGAGACACGGCCCAGACUCCUACGGGAGGCAGCAGUAGGGAAUCUUCCGCAAUGGACGAAAGUCUGACGGAGCAACGCCGCGUGUAUGAAGAAGGUUUUCGGAUCGUAAAGUACUGUUGUUAGAGAAGAACAAGGAUAAGAGUAACUGCUUGUCCCUUGACGGUAUCUAACCAGAAAGCCACGGCUAACUACGUGCCAGCAGCCG